UGGGGAAUUUUGGACAAUGGGCGCAAGCCUGAUCCAGCCAUGCCGCGUGUCUGAAGAAGGCCUUCGGGUUGUAAAGGACUUUUGUCAGGGAAGAAAAGGCUGUUGCUAAUAUCAGCGGCUGAUGACGGUACCUGAAGAAUAAGCACCGGCUAACUACGUGCCAGCAGCCGCGGUAAUACGUAGGGUGCAAGCGUUAAUCGGAAUUACUGGGCGUAAAGCGAGCGCAGACGGUUACUUAAGCAGGAUGUGAAAUCCCCGGGCUCAACCUGGGAACUGCGUUCUGAACUGGGUGACUAGAGUGUGUCAGAGGGAGGUAGAAUUCCACGUGUAGCAGUGAAAUGCGUAGAGAUGUGGAGGAAUACUGAUGGCGAAGGCAGCCUCCUGGGAUAACACUGACGUUCAUGCUCGAAAGCGUGGGUAGCAAACAGGAUUAGAUACCCUGGUAGUCCACGCCCUAAACGAUGUCAAUUAGCUGUUGGGCAACUUGAUUGUUCAGUAGCGUAGCUAACGCGUGAAAUUGACCGCCUGGGGAGUACGGUCGCAAGAUUA
rnacentral:rRNA from 1 species